UGCCCUGUGGUGUAAUGGUAGCACAGCAGCCUCUGGAGUUGCUUGUUUAGGUUCGAGUCCUAACAGGGCAG
rnacentral:tRNA from 1 species